rnacentral:rRNA from 1 species
UGUUUCGGCUAGGGGGCCAUCCCGGCUUACCAACCCGAUGCAAACUGCGAAUACCGGAGAAUGUUAUCACGGGAGACACACGGCGGGUGCUAACGUCCGUCGUGAAGAGGGAAACAACCCAGACCGCCAGCUAAGGUCCCAAAGUCAUGGUUAAGUGGGAAACGAUGUGGGAAGGCCCAGACAGCCAGGAUGUUGGCUUAGAAGCAGCCAUCAUUUAAAGAAAGCGUAAUAGCUCACUGGUCGAGUCGGCCUGCGCGGAAGAUGUAACGGGGCUAAACCAUGCACCGAAGCUGCGGCAGCGACACUGUGUGUUGUUGGGUAGGGGAGCGUUCUGUAAGCCUGUGAAGGUGUGUCGUGAGGCAUGCUGGAGGUAUCAGAAGUGC